rnacentral:lncRNA from 10 species
GUCUGCACAGCUUUUCUCCCUGGAUGGAAGCCGAGUGCCUCUGGCCUGGAGCCUGUCCCUCAACCUGUCCCUCCACCAGGGAAAGCUGCAAAAGGGAGUCUGUGGCCUUUCCAUCCUGGGUCUGUGGGAGUUCAUCAGAGCAGAGGGUGGGCUCCUGACCCAGCCUGUCCUCAUGGGAGUGCUGCAAGCUGACACCUAAGAGAGAACUGCCUGAUUCCUAGGGUGACCUACCCUGUCAACAGAGGAGGGUGUCUCUGUUGCAAAGGCCUGGGAGGAGGUGGCCGGCAGAGCUUCAGAGAGCCAUUCUGGGCAAGAAGGUGGCUGCCUACAAGCCAGGAAGAGAGCCCUCACCAGAACCUGACAGUGCUGGUCCCUUCAUCCUGGACUUCCAGCCUCCAGAGCUGUGAGAAAUAAGCCACUCAGUCUAUGAUAUUUUGUUAUGGCAGCUCGAGCAGAUGAAUACAGAUGUUAAGAAGCUCAGAACGCACAGUAAAGGGUGAUACUACUUGUCCAGGUAAGAGAGGUGUCCCAGCCUACAGCCAAGCUGGAUGGACCAAUGCUGAGCCUUGCCUUGAGGCACUGGAAGGGUGCUCCACAGGAAUCAGGAGCUGAGAAGCUCAGAACUGCAAAAUGGCCCCUAGCCCCUGCUUUUUCAUGGAGGAGCUGCAGCUACCUGACAGCUCUCUGUUCUCACAGGGGUUAGGACCCAGGAGCUGCCCUUCCAUGAUCACAGCUGGCUCGGGCUUCUGCUGACAGGCGAGGCUGGGCUGGCUUGCCAGCAGAACCUCUUAUCUCCUUCAUGUGGAGUGAGUGGAAGGCAGGGGACCUUUCUUGACACUUGGAAGAGACAAAGCCCAGCUCUACCAUGACUGACCACGAGACCCUGGAUAAAUCACUGACUCAUUCCUGUCCUCAGUCUCUCCAGCUGUAGAUGGGAUGGCAAUGUCUACCUCUGCGGACUGUUGGAAGGAUCAGUUGCAUGUUAGUCUAAGUGGAACUGAUGCUCAGCUGGUACACAGUGCUAUGACCGCUCUGCCUCCCAUUGUCAGGGGCUGGAGUCCCUUCUGGCUGGCAGCUGCCUGCACCUCGCCAGGGAUUAAACCAUUUUACUCUACCCCUUGGAACUAAAUCAAGUAUUCUUAAGCUCCAAUUACCUGCUACCAACCAGCACACCUGGUAAAUACAUUUCUAUGGGGCUGGCCUCCCGUGCUGAGCUUUUACUUCUCUGUAACAGGGAGGUGUGGAUUCUCGAGUGCCUCCCUGUGAGGGAGACAUUUGGUCACCUGGAGCCUCUGGCCAGUAGUCUGUUUUAAGCAGCACCAUUGUUCCUGCUAUUCUCCCCUUUCCAGAAUGCCUAGUGGGAAGCCUGUACACUUCCCCCACCUCUUAUUCCUGACCAUAGUCUGAGAGCUCUGGGAGGGAAUGAGGGACUGGGGGACAGUCAAGCAAGGGGAGAGAGCCAGCAGGGACAGCCUCUUCAAGUGACCUUCCCAGAUUUUUUUUGAAAGUAUCAUUCAGUGAUACAUCUACUCACGAUGCUAUAUUUAUCUAUGAAAGAGGCAGGAUAUUUUUGAGCGGAUGUAAUUUCUGGCUCUCUCCCUUCAAGAAAAAAAAAAGUGUCAUUCCUAUUCAUUUCUUCCUGCCUCUGCUUCUGUCUCUCACACAUUUCUUUUGUAUAAACAUACCCCCCACACAUGCACACACACGCACAUACACAUACACACAUCUGUGCACACACACAGAGGCAGGCACAUGGUCCAAGAGCUAAAAUUCCGUGACUCUCUUUGGCUGAUUCAGACUUAUCUAGCAUGAUGCAUAGAAAGGCAGAUAGACAGGAGGAACAGGAGAAACAAAAAGGAAACUGAGUUUGUUCAUUUAUAUUUUUGCCUCCAACUUCACUGAACACUUAAUGUUAUGGGAAAUUGGAUGAGGGCAAGAGAAAGCUCUGAGAGACACCUGCCAGGGUAGCAGUUGGGUGAACCAGGUCAGAAAGAACACUUUUCUCUCUGGCUUCCAAGAAGUCACAGAGAGCAGAGGUACCCCAUUUGCAGGUGACCCAAAGCUGAGACCUGGGGUAAGGGAAGUCUGAAGCAAGAUUCAGGAUUUUUAGGGCAAGCCUGAGGAAGAGUAAGAUGAACUGUUACCAGGAUGAGCAUCUUUCAUUCUGCAUUUAAAUUAAAUUACCAACACAAAUGCCUCAAGUGUGGGUUGGAGGAUUCCUACCUACAGGGUGAGCAGGUGCCUCCUGUGUGAUCUGGGCGCUGGGACUGUCAGAGCUGCAAAGGUCUCCAGGCAGUAAAUCAGAAAGGGAGGAGGUGGGGGAGCACUUGGCUCCAGGUCUCUUUAGCUGAGUUACAGACAGAUGCUGGGUUCAGGUAUCAAAUAAUUGAAGAGAGAGAGAAAAAUGACCAAAUCUAGAGAAAGGACCAAAUUUGAGACCCAGAGAACAUCAGCAGAAGGUGUCUUACAGGCUCAAGAACCAGGGGUUUGGGAAGGGAGAGACAGGGUUGGGAUCUGGUAGAAAGGGGACAAGAGUUGACCUAAGGGACUCAAACCUAAGGUAAUUUCCUAGUGGAACUUGGGCUGUGCUGGGGGCUGCAGAGCCCUGAGCUGCCCCUCCCAAGACAGCAGUUCCAGCGGCUUUUGGAGAAUAGGACAUUACUUAGUGUAUGGAUGAGUGGGUAAAUGCUUGCUUGAGUUUGGGGUGGGGACCCUUCCUGGAGGGGCCACCAGGUCACAGAAGAAGCCAGACAGUGUGGGAGUCCCUGGGGAUAGCACCCUCCAUACCAAGGUUUACAGCUAUUGGGGGCAGGAACCAUCACUAGAGUCAGAAGCUCUAGGCCUGUCGCUGACUCGCUGGAGGACCGUGUGCAGCUCAUCAAACCUCUCUGAGCCUCAAUUUCUUCAUCUGUUACAGGAGAGUGGUGAUAAUAUUGCAGAGGGCUUUGUGAGGAUUGAAUGAGCUGGGCCAUGGAAAAGGACUUUUAAAAAGUGCUUUCUAAAUGGUAAAGCACAAUACAAGUGUUGUUUUACUUUUCUCUAAGAAAAGGCAGAGGGCUUCUAUGGAAAGAACGUGGGCUUUGAAAAUUGACAGGUGGAAUCCUGGUUAUAUCCCCUGUAAGCUGUGUGGCCAUGGGGAAGUUCUAGAACAUAAGUAGAUAGGUGUAUAGCCAUCCCUUCCACCCACUGUUUCUUAACAAUUAAAGUAUAAUUUACAUACAGUAAUUCAUUCUUUUUAGUAUACAGUACUGUGAGUUUUGACAAAUAAAUACAUUGGUGUAACCUGCAUCACAAUCAAGAUACAAGCCGAAUGGUCCCAAGAUUCUAAACACUUCCCCCAUCUGCUCUGUAUUGAUCUCCAUACAUCCAGCUACUGGCAAUCACUUAACCAGUUUUUUGCUCCUAUAGUUUGCCUUUUCCAGAAUGUCAUAUGAAUGGAAGCAUGCAGUAUUUCGCCUUUCAAGUCUGGCUUUUCUCACUGAGCAUAAUAAUGCUUUUGAGAUUCAUCCCUGCAGCAGUAUGUGUCAGUAGUCACUCCUUUAUAUUGCCAAAUAGUACUCCAUGAACGUACUACAGUUUAUCAAUUGCCCAGCUGAGGGACAGCUGGGUUGUUUCCUGUUUGGGGCCAUUGUGAGUAUAACUGCAGUAAACACGCAGAUUUCUAUGUGAACCUGUUUUCCCCUACGGUAAAUCCUAGGAAUAGAAUAACUGGGCUGUAUGUUAGAUGUUUGUUUAUAAGAAACUGGUAAAGUCUUUUCCAAUGUGGCUCUACCCUUUUUCAUUCCCGCCAGCACUGAAUGAGUAUUCCAAUUGUUUCUCUGUGGGUGGCAAGCCAUCCAGGUGCUGAGGCAAGAGACCGAGAGCAUGAGCUGUUCCAGUAUAAUAAAAUAUAUAAAACAACAAGAGUUAUACUAGAUCUAGAUCAUAGACAUGAUUAUAUAUGAAUAUCAUUAAUCAUUAGUUUGUAGCAAUUACUCUUUAUUCCAAUAUUAUAAUAAUCCUCGAUCUAUAACCAUAACCUAGGAAAAACCAGGCCAUACAGAGAUAGGAGCUGAGGGGACAUAGUGAGAAGUGAGCAGAAGACAAGAGUGCGAGCCUUCUGUUAUGCCCAGACAGGGCCACCAGAGGGCUCCUUGGUCUAGCGGUAACACCAGCGUCAGGGAAGACGCCCGUUGCCAACAGACUGUGGUCUAGCAGUAGCGUCAGUGUCAAGGAAAAACACCCGCUACUUAGCAGACUGGGAAACGGAGUCUCC